rnacentral:rRNA from 1 species
GAUGAACGCUGGCGGCGUGCCUAAUACAUGCAAGUCGAGCGAACAGACUAUGCGCUUGCUCCUCUGACGUUAGCGGCUGACGUGUGAGUGACACGUGGAUAACCUACUUAUCAGACUGGGAUCACGGCGUGAAACCUGAGCUCAUACCGUAUUAUAUCUUGAACUUCAUGGUUCAAUAGUGAUAGACUGAUUUGCUGUCACUUAUAGAUAGCUCCUCGCCGCAUUAGCUAGUUGGUAAGGUAACGGCUUACCAAGGAAACGAUCCGUAGCCCACCUGAGAGGGUGAUCGGCCACACGGGAACUGAAACACGGUCAAGACUCCUACGGGAGGCAGAAGUAGGGAAUCUUCGGAAAUGGGCGAAAGCUUGACGGGGAACGGCGGGGUGGGUGAUGAAGGUCUUCGGAUCGUAAGACUCUGUUAAUAGGGAAGAACAAAUGUGUAAGUAAAUAUGCACGCCGUGACGGUACCUAAUCAGAAAGCCACGGCUAACUACGUG